GACGUAGGUGGCGAGCGUUGUUCGGAAUCACUGGGCAUAAAGCGCGCGUAGGCUGCUUUUCAAGUCGGGUGUGAAAGCCCUCGGCUCAACCGAGGAACUGCGCCCGAUACUGAAAGGCUUGAGGGCUGGAGGGGAGAGUGGAAUUCCCGGUGGAGCGGUGAAAUGCGUAGAGAUCGGGAAGAACGCCGGCGGCGAAAGCGACUCUCUGGUCAGCCCCUGACGCUGAGGCGCGAAAGCUAGGGGAGCAAACGGGAUUAGAAACCCUAGUAGU
rnacentral:rRNA from 1 species